rnacentral:misc_RNA from 1 species
GAUGAAGAACGUAGCGAAAUGCGAUAAGUAGUGUGAAUUGCAGAAUUCAGUGAAUCAUCGAAUCUUUGAACGCACAUUGCGCCCCUUGGUAUUCCAUGGGGCAUGCCUGUUCGAGCGUCAUUUGUACCUUCAAGCUUUGCUUGGUGUUGGGUGUUUGUCCCUCGGGACUCGCCUUAAAGUCAUUGGCAGCCAGUGUUUUGGUUUUGAAGCGCAGCACAAGUCGCGAUUCAAGGCUAUCCGCCCGCUUCCACAAGCCUUUUUCACUUUUGACCUCGGAUCAGGUAGGGAUACCCGCUGAACUUAAGCAUAUCAAUAAGGGAGGA